UACAGAGGUCUCAAGCGUUGUUCGGAAUUACUGGGCGUAAAGCGCACGUAGGUGGCUUUGUAAGUUAGAGGUGAAAGCCCGGGGCUCAACUCCGGAAUUGCCUUUAAGACUGCAUCGCUAGAACGUCGGAGAGGUAAGUGGAAUUCCGAGUGUAGAGGUGAAAUUCGUAGAUAUUCGGAAGAACACCAGUGGCGAAGGCGACUUACUGGACGACUGUUGACACUGAGGUGCGAAAGCGUGGGGAGCAAACAGG
rnacentral:rRNA from 1 species